rnacentral:lncRNA from 1 species
GUGGUCAUCACCAUGAUCAUCUCUUGCUCCAUCACUUGGCAUGUACCAACUUCAUCUAGUCUACACACACUUAGCAUAGAGGUUAGUACUAGGGUUUAAUCAAUUAUCCAAAACCAAACUUGGGCUUUUAGGGCGGGAGUGAGAGAUCGGGAGAAGAAACCCUAGCUCUCCGUUUAUAUAUGAUGAGUGAUACUGACAAGGGCAGCCUAUUGGGCC